rnacentral:lncRNA from 1 species
UGCAAGAAGAACUCUGGGGGAGCCAUGCCAGAGAGAUGGCCGGGAGCGAGCCCUGCGGCCAGAGAGUUUGUGGGCCAGCAGGAUCACUGAAGCAUGAUCUGGCCCUGGGGAGAGUUGACGAGUUCGUUUUAUAAUAUUUCCUGCAACAGGUUCACAGUGCUCUUAAAUGAUAAAUGAAAAUAGGAUUUCAUGUGUUUUAAUAAACUAAAUACUUGUACAAGAUAGUCAUUUUUUUUUAUUUUAGCAUGCUUACCUAUUUGUUGUUUUCCUGAAAUUGCAGGGGAGUUUGAAAAUGAAAUAAAUACUGUGCUAUGAUUUUCUUCUUGACCUGAGGAAAGUUUGGCAUAGUUAAAAAAAAAAAAAAACCAAAACAGUUCCCCAAAGUGAAAAAGACCUUGUGGUUUAAGAAGGCAGCUUUUAAUCUUCAUGAUAUAUAUGGCCUUCAGUUCCUCCUCCAAAAUAGCACAGAUUGGCUUUGUGACAUCAUCCCUGACUGUGCAGAUGGCGAGGACACAUCAUUUAGGGCCAGCUUAAUUAGUGAUGGACACAUUUCAGUGUUUUUAUUUCUUGGCUAUUUCAUCCUUCAGAAUUCUGUGACAUUUGAUUGCUCCCUCCAUAUGACCAAGGAAGUAAUGGAAACAAAUCACCAGGUAACGUCACAUAGCUGGUAGCUAAAUAGCUGGAGCUGUCGUUCAACUGAAGGUUUGUUUAUGUUACACCAUUUACUUGUAAGCUACGAUGACAUGUAAAACAUAUAGAAUCAGUUGUGCAAGCAAAGAAAACCUAUAAUAAGACAUUAAAAUGUUUAAAUUGAAAUUAUGCUGUAUAAAAAUUACUUGCUAAACAGAAUAGUAAUAAAGUGCAUGUUUU